rnacentral:rRNA from 1 species
CGGGAGGGUGCAAGCGUUAUCCGGAUUUACUGGGUUUAAAGGGUGUGUAGGCGGACUUUUAAGUCAGCGGUGAAAUCUCCGGGCUCAACCCGGAAACUGCCAUUGAUACUAUUGGUCUUGAAUAUUGUUGAGGUGGGCGGAACGGGUCAUGUAGCGGUGAAAUGCAUAGAUAUGACCCGGAACACCGAUUGCGAAGGCAGCCCACUAAGCAAUGAUUGACGCUGAGGCACGAAAGCGUGGGGAUCAAACAGGAUUAGAUACCCUGGUAGUCCACGCCCUAAACGAUGAUUACUCGACGUUGGCGAUACACUGAUCAGCGUCCAAGCGAAAGCAUUAAGUAAUCCACCUGGGAAGUACGUUCGCAAGAAUG